rnacentral:tRNA from 1 species
GCGCGAGUGGUUUAGACGUAUAACGACACUUUCACGAAGCGUUAAUCUCGACGGUCGGGGGUUCAAAAUUCCCCCCUUGCGCA